rnacentral:rRNA from 1 species
GAAUGCUGACAUAAGUAACGAUAAAGCGGGUGAAAAGCCCGCUCGCCGGAAGACCAAGGGUUCCUGUCCAACGUUAAUCGGGGCAGGGUGAGUCGACCCCUAAGGCGAGGCCGAAAGGCGUAGUCGAUGGGAAACGGGUUAAUAUUCCCGUACUUGGUGUUACUGCGAAGGGGGGACGGAGAAGGCUAUGUUGGCCGGGCGACGGUUGUCCCGGUUUAAGCGUGUAGGUGUGUGUUCCAGGUAAAUCCGGUUCACUUUAACACUGAGGCGUGAUGACGAGGCACUACGGUGCUGAAGCAACAAAUGCCCUGCUUCCAGGAAAAGCCUCUAAGCAUCAGGUAACAUCAAAUCGUACCCCAAACCGACACAGGUGGUCAGGUAGAGAAUACCAAGGCGCUUGAGAGAACUCGGGUGAAGGAACUAGGCAAAAUGGUGCCGUAACUUCGGGAGAAGGCACGCUGACACGUAGGUGAAGUGAUUUACUCAUGGAGCUGAAGUCAGUCGAAGAUACCAGCUGGCUGCAACUGUUUAUUAAAAA